rnacentral:rRNA from 1 species
AUUGAACGCUGGCGGCAGGCCUAACACAUGCAAGUCGAACGAGUGGCGGACGGGUGAGUAAUGUCUGGGAAACUGCCUGAUGGAGCGGGAUAACUACUGGAAACGGUAGCUAAUACCGCAUACCAUCAGAUGUGCCCAGGUGGGAUUUGCUUGUUGGGUGGGUAACGGCUCACCAAGGCGAAGAUGCGUAGCUGGUCUGAGAGGAUGACCAGCCAAACUGGAACUGAGACACGGUCCAGACUCCUACGGGAGGCAGCAGUAGGGAAUAUUGCACAAUGGGCGCAAGCCUGAUGCAGCCAUGCCGCGUGUAUGAAGAAGGCCUUCGGGUUGUAAAGUACUGGCAGCAGGGAGGCGUUACCCACAGAAGAAGCACCGGCUAACUCCGUGCCAGCAGCCGCGGUAAUAC